AUUGAACGCUGGCGGCAGGCUUAACACAUGCAAGUCGAGCGGGGGAAGGUAGCUUGCUACCGGACCUAGCGGCGGACGGGUGAGUAAUGCUUAGGAAUCUGCCUAUUAGUGGGGGACAACAUCUCGAAAGGGAUGCUAAUACCGCAUACGUCCUACGGGAGAAAGCAGGGGAUCUUCGGACCUUGCGCUAAUAGAUGAGCCUAAGUCGGAUUAGCUAGUUGGUGGGGUAAAGGCCUACCAAGGCGACGAUCUGUAGCGGGUCUGAGAGGAUGAUCCGCCACACUGGGACUGAGACACGGCCCAGACUCCUACGGGAGGCAGCAGUGGGGAAUAUUGGACAAUGGGGGGAACCCUGAUCCAGCCAUGCCGCGUGUGUGAAGAAGGCCUUAUGGUUGUAAAGCACUUUAAGCGAGGAGGAGGCUACUUUAGUUAAUACCUAGAGAUAGUGGACGUUACUCGCAGAAUAAGCACCGGCUAACUCUGUGCCAGCAGCCGCGGUAAUACAGAGGGUGCGAGCGUUAAUCGGAUUUACUGGGCGUAAAGCGUGCGUAGGCGGCUUAUUAAGUCGGAUGUGAAAUCCCCGAGCUUAACUUGGGAAUUGCAUUCGAUACUGGUGAGCUAGAGUAUGGGAGAGGAUGGUAGAAUUCCAGGUGUAGCGGUGAAAUGCGUAGAGAUCUGGAGGAAUACCGAUGGCGAAGGCAGCCAUCUGGCCUAAUACUGACGCUGAGGUACGAAAGCAUGGGGAGCAAACAGGAUUAGAUACCCUGGUAGUCCAUGCCGUAAACGAUGUCUACUAG
rnacentral:rRNA from 1 species